UACGAGAGGCCCAAACGUUAUUCGGAUUUACUGGGCUUAAAGAGUUCGUAGGCGGCGCGGAAAGUAGGGUGUAAAAGCCCUCGGCUCAACCGAGGAAUUGCGCUCUAAACUGCCGCGCUCGAGGAACCUAGAGGUGAGCAGAACUGAUGGUGGAGCGGUGAAAUGCGUUGAUAUCAUCAGGAAUACCGGAGGCGAAGGCGGCUCACUGGGGGUUAUCUGACGCUGAGGAACGAAAGCCAGGGGAGCAAACGGG
rnacentral:rRNA from 1 species